rnacentral:rRNA from 1 species
CAAUAGCGUAUAUUAAAGUUGUUGCGGUUAAAAAGCUCGUAGUUGGAUCUCGGCAGGCAGGGGGUGGUUCGCUCUUAGCGCUACUGCCCCAUUUGCCUGUGUGAUUGGCGGAGGUUUCGGGGUGCUCUUCGUUGAGUGACCCGGGGGGCCGUCAGGUUUACUUUGAAAAAAUUAGAGUGCUCAAAGCAGGCUUUUCACGCUUGAAUAUUCGUGCAUGGAAUAAUGGAAUAGGAACUCGUUUCUAUUUUGUUGGUUUUCGGAAAUCGAGUUAAUGAUUAAUAGGGACAAUUGGGGGCAUUAGUAUUCAGACGACAGAGGUGAAAUUCUUGGACCGUCUGAAGACUAACUACUGCGAAAGCAUUUGCCAAGAGUGUUUUCAUUAA